rnacentral:lncRNA from 1 species
AGUGAUGGAAAAACAUCAGUGAUUAUCUGGGGACGGGUGGGGUCAGACAGGGGUGGGAGGAAAAUGAGGAAACUUUUGUAGGUGAUGGGUAUGUUCAUUAUCUUGAUUUUGGUGAUGAUGAUGUGAGAACUUAUCUAAUUUAAAUACAUAUAGUUAAUUGCACAUCAGUUAUACUUCAAUAAAGCUGUGAAAAAAAAAAACAGAAAGAGAGAAAAGAAAAGAAAAAGAAACAAUUCAGUGGUGUGCUGGAGCCCACAAAAUUUGAACAUCUCUUCGCACCUGCUCAUUCAGUGAUGUUACACUGAUGGCUUGGAAUAAGCCAUGGUGGGAGUACAUUUCCACACCAGAAAUUGACUACAAUUCAGGGCCCUUCCCUGCCCCUGAGCCAGUUUACUCGUCACCACUGGUGUAUACCAGGCAUAAGGUAGCAUCGCAAAUUUCAAAAGCAGCACCUUAAAUGCAAGAAAAAAUUGUGAACAGACAUGAAAAGCAUGUGAAUAAAUCUAAAAAUAAAACUACAAAAUUUUGUUGAUGUCAAAUUUGUGAGGUUAAAGGCAACAACGUAGAUCUAACACACAGGAUGACAGUAGCACGUAUGUCUGAAGCAGGGCAACUGGAGUUCAUCUAUCCCCAAAUCCUUGGCUUGAUUGGGACAAUGAUACAGAUAUUGACUUUAGACAUUUUUAGAUAAAAUACGAAUGCUAAACUGGUUUACAGUAACCACGAAAAGCACACAAUUUGAAUGCAUGCUUUCAAAACUUGUAGAGGAAAAAUGCAAUGAGAGAAAAACCGUAAUUAAGUCCAAAAGAAGGGCUUGCCCUUCACCUGCAAUUCCUCGCAUUAUCAAUGGUGGGAGCAUGGGAGGGAAUGCAGGUG